AUGCGAAACCGGCCUCGAGAAGGCCGGUCGCCGGAGCGUGGCGGCUUCGGCCUGAAGAUGCAGCCGAAA
rnacentral:hammerhead_ribozyme from 1 species